GGCUGAGGCAGUUGUCUGUCACACACGUUAAGACUGUACAUGCGUGUUCACUGAGUCAUUGACUGGACACACACCAUGUAUGUGGACACGUACAGAGACCAGUGUGUGUGUGUGUGUGUGUGUGUGUGUGUGUGUGUGUGUGUGUGUGUGUGUGUGUGUGUACAGCAGUGUUGACUGAAGCCUGAUGGGGUCUGGAGGGUCGAGUCAGAGGGAAGAUCCAGAGAACCAGCCUGCAUCACAGCCAAACUCAGAGUCAGACUCCAGCGACUCGUCGCCACCUCCUCCCGUCAUCCUCGUCACGGCUCCGUCACGGGAAGACAUCUUCGCCUCGAGCUCCAACAUGACCAUAGCGGACGCCGUCAAAGAGCGGAGGCCGUCAUCCAAACCCAUUGUCGUGGGGAAGAAAUUUGUGAGCAGGCGCUGACUCAGAAUGUCACAGCCACGUUUCCGAGGAGGACUGAUAAAUGGAGUUCACUAAAACCAGGCAGCAUAAGAAAAAAGGACAUUUGGAAACAUGCAGUGAAAAAGAAGACAAGUACAAGAAAAGCCCAGGAGACAAAGACAGAGGAUGAGAAGGAAAAACAAAACUACAGAGGAUGAUUCAUUUUUGUUACUAAAUAUGACCGCUAUGAAACCUUAAGGAUUAAAGCUAAACUUAAAUGUG